rnacentral:tRNA from 1 species
UGGGGCAUAGCUCAGUUGGGAGAGCAGUAGACUGAAGUUCUAAAGGCCCGCGUUCGAUCCGCGUGCCCCCA